rnacentral:rRNA from 1 species
AUUGAACGCUGGCGGCAUGCUUUACACAUGCAAGUCGAACGGCAGCACGGGGGCAACCCUGGUGGCGAGUGGCGAACGGGUGAGGAAUACAUCGGAACGUGUCUUCAAGUGGGGGAUAACGCAUCGAAAGGUGUGCUAAUACCGCAUAAUCUCUGAGGAGAAAAGCAGGGGAUCGCAAGACCUUGCGCUUUUGGAGCGGCCGAUGUCUGAUUAGCUUGUUGGUGAGGUAAAAGCUUACCAAGGCUUCGAUCAGUAGCUGGUCUGAGAGGACGACCAGCCACACUGGGACUGAGACACGGCCCAGACUCCUACGGGAGGCAGCAGUGGGGAAUUUUGGACAAUGGGGGAAACCCUGAUCCAGCCAUGCCGCGUGAGUGAAGAAGGCCUUCGG